rnacentral:rRNA from 1 species
AUGCUAAAGUGCUUACUUGCCGAGUUCAUGACACAAUUCUUGAUCAUAGUAUCCAAGUCCAUUGAAGAGAACUUUGUUACUUUCGUUGGUGUCCCCAGCUUAACUAUUGGGACACAAAGCAAAGUACGUCGGCUCUCAAUGCAAGUUGAAGGGGAAGGAAACUCUAUCGUGCCGCUGAGCCUUACAUUAUAUCAUGUCCGAUCACUCAAUGUGUUUGGGGUUGCAGUGGAAAUCCCUUCAAUGAUGGAGUUCAGACAUUUGCGUAUUAUGGACUUUGGUGGAUGCCACCAAUUGGAAAACCACCAUCUUGCAAAUGUAGGGAGGCUGUUUCAGCUAAGGUACCUCAACAUUAGAAGGACAAAGGUAAGCGAGCUCCCAGAAGAAAUCGGAUGUCUACGGUGCCUAGAGAUGUUGGACAUAAGGUCCACCAAGGUAAAAGAUUUACCAGCAUGUAUUGUCAAUCUUCAAAAAUUAGCACAUUUACUUGUUAACCAAGGUGUUAGAUUUCCGGUUGGAAUUACAAAGAUGCAAGCACUCGAGACGUUGAAAUGGUGUGCCUGGCAGUCAUAUAUCUUCUGGCAAGAGCUUGGACAGCUUAAGAAUCUAAGAAAGCUGGACCUUAAUCAUGAUGGUGCGCAAGAACACAAAGAAGUUAUUGCUUCUUCUCUCCAUAAUCUAUGCACACAGAAUCUUUGUUCUCUAACUAUUUGGAAUGAUAAUGACAGCAUCUUACUGAAUACAUUGUGCACUUCUCCGUCGCUUAACAUCCAGAAACUUUCUACCCGGUCUUGUGUCCUUCCAAAGGUUCCGGAUUGGGUAGGAUAUCUUGUCAACCUGCAGAAGUUACGGUUGCAAGUGAAGAGAAUCCGGCAUGAAGAUCUCUGCAUUCUUGGAGCAUUACCCAGUCUGCUCAUUUUGUGUCUCGAAAACAAGGAGAAUGGGGAGAAUGAAUCUUUAGAUAGAAGGCUGGCAGUCAGUCGUGAAGCUGGAUUCCGAUGCCUGAGAGUGUUUACUUAUUUCGUGGAGGGAGACAGGAUGGAUCUCAUCUUUGCAUCAAGAUGUAUGCCCAAGUUAGAAAAACUGAAGACUGUCUUUCUCGGCAGUUUUACAGAUGAGUCUCACAGGAGUGCUGGUGCUUUGUAUUUCGGGAUUGAAAACCUCCCUGGCCUCCGUACUUACAAAUUUGCCAUACGUUGCUUUGGUACGAAAAGGAGCAAUGCUGACGCUGUAAAGGCUUCCGUGGAGAGAUUAGUCAGCACGCAUCCCAACAACCGCCUUAAUCUGAUCUUUGAGCAUGGCCCUGUUCAGUCAUGA